GCCCCACGAGUCUGACUCCUCCUGCUAAUGUUUAACUAAACCCAAACCAUGGCUCAGAUCAGAAGCAGCCACUGGCUCCUGUCAGCCUGGCCCUGCAAACCCCAAAGGGUCCCUUUUCUACCCCCCUCCCAAAAAGGAGAGAGAGGGGGGAGGGUAAAAAAGGAACCUAGAAGCUUUCCAGCAGCUCAUCUUGCUUUUUUCUAACACCCUUUCCAAGUCCUCUGGGUCAAACACUCCCCUGUGUCUGCCCCAAGCAGGGGGCAACCAGAGGGAGUAAAGACAAGAGGGGGGGGGGAGCAAAACCAUCCCUGGAGCAGUGCUUAGAGAGUCAACCCAAUGGGAAUGAGGAUGGAGGCUGAAGACAAAAGGAUCCACACACACCCCUGUGCCCAGGUGGCACCCAAAGGGGGUUAAAAGAAGAGUUGAGGGGGUUUUUCUUCCCCCACCUCAACAAGGCAUUUCAGGUGCUACUUCAAGGUCACAACAGGCAUCUCUGGGAGUCAACUGUGUGCUUU